AACGCACCUUGCGCCCUCUGGUAUUCCGGAGGGCAUGCCUGUUUGAGUGUCAUGUAGACUCAAUCCCUCGGGUUUCCGAGGAGGUUGGACUUGGGUGUUGCCGCUCUGCCGGCUCGCCUUAAAAGACUUAGCGGGAUAGCACCGUAGUCGGCGUAAUAAGUUUCGUCGGUGAAGGUUGUGAUGACUGCUUACAAUCGCCCUCGGGCAAUUUUUGACUCUGACCUCAAAUCAGGUAGGACUACCCGCUGAACUUAA
rnacentral:misc_RNA from 1 species